rnacentral:tRNA from 1 species
GGCAAGAUGGCCGAGCGGUCUAAGGCGCUGUGUUCAGGCUUUCUUUCAGCAGAAGCUUCGCAGUGGAGCAAUCCGCGCGAGUUCGAAUCUCGUUCUUGUCA